CCAUCCAGGUUUUCUGACCCCAAACGAGGCACACUUCUCACUGUGACAAAAUGAAGAGAUAGGAAGAUUUAACAUAGCCCAUUUAGGGUCCAGUGAGGGGACCCUAAUAGUAUCACUGUGGUGACAUGAUUUUUAGGGACUCCAAGGAGGCUGCAGGGAGCAGAAAAAGAGAAAAGGGGGUAAAAAGGAAUAAAGGAGAGAAUGAGAAAUUAGUUCAGAACAAGAAUAUAUGCUGUCACAGUGAAGGCUAGUCAAUAUUUUUGAAUGAAAUGAAAGAUGAAAGGGAGUUCCUGUGGUGGCACAACAGAAACAAAUCCGUCUAGGAACCAUAAGUCUGCGGGAUCAAUUCCUGGCCCUGCUCAGUGGGAUAGGGAUCUGGCAUUGCCAUGAGGAGUGGUGUAGGUUGCAGAUGUGGCUUGGAUCCUGUGUUGCUGUGGCUGUGGUGUCGGUUGGCAGCUGCAGCUCAGAUUUGACCCCUAGCUUGGGAAUCUCUACAUGCAAAGAGUGCGGCCCUAAAAAAAAAAAAGCAAAAAAAAAAAAAAAAAAAAGAAUGUAAGAAAGAUGAAAGGCAGAAGCCAAGGAGGAUUUCAUGGCAGGGAAUGAAAGAGGGCCCUCAACCGUGGCUUUGGGUUCUGUUCCUGGUACAGAAGAGCUGUAUACUUAGAGUAGAAAUGUUUUUGUGCCUUGUAGCUUCAUUUACUCCUAGGCUAUUUCUGGACCUGUUAACAAAUUCAUAAAUUUUCACCCACUGUUUUUUCUUUCUGGUUCAAAUCAGCCCAAAUAAUUCUAAGCUUUCGAAAUAUUUAUCAUCAGACCUCAAAUACAGUAUCGAGGAAUGACUAACUUACCUGUGAAAGAGCCUGUUUUUCUGAUUCUGGGUCAGAGAUGCUCAUAUUCAGGAAAAGCACUUGCUCUGGUGCAUCAGGUAUGUUAUCAAAUAACACUGAUUUUUUUUAAAUAUUCUUUUUUUUAUUACUCAAAUGAAUUUAUCACAUCUGUAGUUGUAUAAUGAUCAUAACAAUCUGAUUUCACAGGAUUUCCAUCCCACAGCCCAAGCACAUCCCCCCACCCCCCCAAACUGUCUCCUCUGGAGACCAUAAGUUUUUCAAUGUCUGUGAGUCAGCAUCUGUUCUGCAAAGACGUUCAGUCUGUCCUUUUUUCAGAUUCCACAUGUCAGGAAAAGCAUUUAAUGUUUGCUAAAAAAUGCUGGUAUUUCGUUCCUUUUAAUGGCUGAGUAAUAUUCCAUUGUGUAUAUGUACCACAUCUUCUGGAUCCACUCCUCUGUUGAUGGACAUUUAGGAUGUUUCCAUGUCUUGGCUAUUGUAAAUAGUGCUGCAGUGAAUAUUGGAGUACAUGUCUUUUUGAGUCGUAGUUUUCUCUGGAUAGAUGCCCAGGAGUGGGAUUGCUGGAUCGAAUGGUAGUUCUAUGUUUAGUUUUCUGAGGAAUCUCCAUACUGCUUUCCACAGUGGUUGCACCAAUUUACAAUGCCACCAACAGCGUGAUAGGGUUCCUUUUUCUCCACACCCUCUCCAGCACUUAUGUUUGUAGACUUUUGGAUGACGGUCAUUCUGGCUGGUGUAACAGACAGUGAUUAAACAGCCCACUCACCUCUUCCUUCUUCAUUGUUCUGUCGCUUUUAAUUUGGAUCCCUUUGGGUGGGCAGUAGCCAGUGGAGAAGUCGUGCAGUCUGCAGAGGGAGCAGCAAGGGAUUGUGGAACGACCUCUAUCGAUCACCCGGUCUUUGCACUCCCCGGUUUUGUUUAGUGUUCGGUUAUGUGAUUUGUGUCAUUAUAGCGUUAGUGCCUCCUUUCCCAAGGCAUGUGGUUGCUAGUCAGAGCCGUCUUGAUAGACAUGUUGAGGAUAACAGACCUAAGAAGGCAGGCAAACUUUGGCAUCAUGGCAGAGCCCUGGCUUCCUCUAGUUAACCCCAUUAUUUCUUUCCUGCCAAUGUCAUUUCAGACGCAAGCCCUCUAAACUUCAGCUGACUUUAAGCUACCUAAAUCUUGGGAGUGAUUCUUCGUCUUAGUGGUAGUAGUAAAGCAUUGCUUUAUAGGUCCGAAAGUGUCAAACUAUUAUGACAGGUGAGAAACUCAGCACUUUUAAGAUUCUCGGGGGCUUUCAAGUGGGAAGGGAUUAUUCAGAGAUGGAAAUAGAAGUCUGGGCCUUCAUGUGGCAAGAGCACUGGCAAUGGUCCGAGGUUCAGCCUCUUGACAAAAUGUAAGUUUCAAAUGUGAUUGAGCUUUUUCUGCUCAUUAUUUCAGGCUAAUUCAGACUUGUUUGGUCAUCAUCAAAAAUACCCGUUGAAAUACCUAAAACUCUUCAUUAUUCAAAAAAUUUCCCCAGCCAUUCUAAUGGAUGAGGCUGAUUGACAAAAGUGAAGCUCCAGGAGUUCCCUGGUUGUUUAGCAGUUGAGGAUUUGCAUUGUCACUGCUGUGGCUCGGAUUUGAUCCCUGGCUCAAGUACUUCCACGCACUGUGGGAAUAGC
rnacentral:lncRNA from 1 species